rnacentral:precursor_RNA from 1 species
UUCAGUCCACUCAGGGGCGGUGCUAGGGUCGGAUUAGCUGCCGACUCAUUCACCCACAUGCCAAGCAAACGGCCAUGGAAACGAGCUUCGCAGAUGAGUGAAUGAAGCGGGAGGUAAAAGCUUCGAUCUCGCACCGUCUUUGCUUGGACUGAAGGGUGCUCCCUCCGAUCCUUUCCUUGUUUACUUUACCCAUGCAGCUUCAUCAUUCGUAUCUCAAGUCAAGGUUUUACUUCAUAUGAUCUGUAUUUUAUUUUCCAACCUGCUGUCUCGAACUCUUGAUCUGUCUUUGCUUGAGCUGCUUAUUAAUUAUUAUCUUGCAUAUAUAUUAGGCAUCUGAUGCAUACAUCCAUAGCAGCUGCCAGGCUAUUUUAAUUUUACCAUGUGCGUGCUUACUGUUCUUCUGUGGUUGUUAUAUAGCUGUUGUAUAUAUAUAAUGGAGAUCCGAUGCUUUUUUGUACUUUUCUUGCCCUUUUGAUAUGUACACAUACUAGCUAUAUAUAUAAUCCUUGAUCUGCUCCCUGAAUCUAUAUACUGUUCGAUCUCUUCCAAAAAGUUAUCCCAGUUUCUGAAGAAAAGAAAAGGAAGAAAUUGAUUUGCUUUGCAUGUGUGUAGAUCUUACAGGACAGGACCGGAUCCGAUCCAUGCAGGUUUCUGCUGUCUUUCUGUGAUCUGUGGAAGAAGAUGGUGUGCACUGUACGUUCUAGAYUAGCUAGCUAGGAYUAUAUAUAAACGAGAAUCUGUGGAAUCAUAAAAACACACUUUCGUUCG